rnacentral:rRNA from 1 species
GACGAACGCUGGCGGCGUGCUUAACACAUGCAAGUCGAGCGAUGAGGUUUCUUCGGAAAUGGAUUAGCGGCGAACGGGUGAGUAACACGUGAGGAAUCUGCCCUUCACUUUGGAAUAACUCCGGGAAACCGGAGCUAAUACCGGAUACGAACUCUGGCGGCAUCGCCGGGGUUGGAAAGUUUUUCGGUGAAGGAUGACCUCGCGGCCUAUCAGCUUGUUGGUGAGGUAAUGGCUCACCAAGGCGACGACGGGUAGCCGGCCUGAGAGGGCGACCGGCCACACUGGGACUGAGACACGGCCCAGACUCCUACGGGAGGCAGCAGUGGGGAAUAUUGGGCAAUGGGCGAAAGCCUGACCCAGCGACGCCGCGUGCGGGAUGAAGGCCUUCGGGUUGUAAACCGCUUUCAGCAGGGAAGAAGCGAAAGUGACGGUUCCUGAAGAAGAAGCACCGGCUAACUAUGUGCCAGCCGCCGCCGUAA